UCCAGCUUAUCGCUGGCGGUCUCCUGCGAGUUCCCAACUAAAUGGUAGCAACUAAGGACGGGGGUUGCGCUCGUUGCGGGACUUAACCCAACAUCUCACGACACGAGCUGACGACAGCCAUGCAGCACCUGUCUCCGGUCCAGCCGAACUGAAGGACUCCGUCUCUGGAGUCCGCGACCGGGAUGUCAAGGGCUGGUAAGGUUCUGCGCGUUGCGUCGAAUUAAACCACAUGCUCCACCGCUUGUGCGGGCCCCCGUCAAUUCCUUUGAGUUUCAGCCUUGCGGCCGUAUUCCCCAGGCGGGGCACUUAAUGCGUUAGCGCCGGCCCUCAGAGGGUCGCUCCCCCAAGGACCUAGUGCCCAUCGUUUACGGCGUGGACUAC
rnacentral:misc_RNA from 1 species